rnacentral:rRNA from 1 species
GAUGAACGCUAGCUACAGGCUUAACACAUGCAAGUCGAGGGACCGGCGCACGGGUGAGUAACGCGUAUCCAACCUGCCCAUAAGUAGGGUAUAACCCGCAGAAAUGCGGACUAAUCCCCUCUGCUUAUGGAUGGGGAUGCGUCCGAUUAGCUUGUUGGUGAGGUAACGGUUCACUAAGGCUUCGAUCGGUAGGGGAUCGGAAGGGAAGGCCCCCAAUAUAGGAACUGAGACACGGUCCGAACUCGUACGGGAGGUAGCAGUGAGGAAUAUAGGUGAAUGGGCGAGAGCCUGAAACAGCCAAGUAGCGUGCAGGAGGACGGCCUAUGGGGUGUAAACUGUUUGUAUGCGGGGAUAGGUACCGCAGGAAUAAGGACCGGCUAAUUCCGUGCCAGCAGCCGCGGUAAUAC